CACAGUGUAGUAUAGUGGUAGGAUGCAGGGCUUGUAACCAAAAGGUUGCUGGUUCAAUUCCCCACUGGGG
rnacentral:tRNA from 1 species